CACAACUCCACCGUACGGCCGCCCCUAACCAUCGCCCCCAUCCACAGGCGACUCCCCAACUUUGCUCAACCUCGCCGGCGCGUUCACUCUAGAAAGCGUUCCCGUGAUCCCAGAGCUGCGCCGACGAACGAGAUGGCCAGUCCCGCAAUAUCCGCCUAGGGCACUCACUCCGAACCUGUGCAGCGUCCUCGGGGCACCCGUUGUGCUCAGCUCGCGACCAAAAUUUUCAGACCGAUAUGCUCAGGCUUGUGACGUGUAGGUUUGGGGAUCUGGGGAAGCACGGGUAUGUGAUGGUGACAGUGGAUCUGAGCACGCGUUGUUCGACCGCGGCCCGUCGUGCGGCGGGUGUUACGAGGUCAUGUGCGUGGAGGACCUAAAGUACUGCCUCGCCGACAUAUCCAUCGUCGUCACGGCCCCAACUAGGGCUUCCCCGCCGACGCCGGCGACGUCUACAAUCCGCCCAACUACCAUGUCCUCCUCCCCAUUCAAGCCUUCGAGAAAAUUGCGCUCUGGAAGGCCGGCGUCAUGCCGAUCCAGUACCGCUGGUACUCAGUCAUAUCUCAGAACCAUGCAAUUGUUAAGUUUAUCUGAUUACAUUUAAGUGGAGGAACUUGGACGUCUCUACGAUGUAUUUAAUAAUCUAAGGUAUGUUUUUGUGUCUGCCACUUUAUAAUUGAUGGCAACCUGACCUAUCCUAUAGGGAUUAAUACCGCUCUCUAUGUUGAUAAAUAUCUUCCAUGCUACUACUGAAAUU